rnacentral:lncRNA from 1 species
AGACAAUAGAAGUAGCAGCAAAACCCCGUGGAAGAUGACCACCAUCAAAGAAGUCCAAUACCGCCCUGUAAACAUCCUCCUGAAUAAUAUCCCAACAAUUCUGGAAGAAUAGGGAUGAGAAGCCAUCCGGGCCAGCGACACUGUCAGCAUCAAUACUGAAAACUGCCUCCCGUACCUCAUGAAUCAAAGGGGGGCGAUUUAGUGCCAGAUUAUCGUCCACCGUCAACAGCCUCGGAAUGACAUCAGAACGGAUGUGGUCCAAGGGUUGUGGAGGAGCAGAUAAGAGAUCCUGGUAGAAAGCAACAGCCGAGGUCUGAAUAUCAGUAGGAGUAGAUAACACUUCCCCCGCCUGUGUCCUGAUAGACCUGAUACGUGAUUUGAUCCUACGCCCCUGAACCAUCGCAUGAAAAUAUCGAGUAUUGUGAUCACCCUCACAUGCCCAACGUGAACCGGCCUUUUGCUUCCAAAAGCCCUCCUCAAUAGACAAGGUCCGGUUCAAAACUGCCUGGGCCUGAUGUAGAAAGUUACGGUUCUCCGGUGUAGGAUCUCUAUCAUAUAUUAUCUCAGCCUCAUCAACCCCGACCUCAGUAUCGCGCACCCGCUGGAAAAUAUCUCCAAAUACAUGUCGGUUCCACCAGCGCAG